CAGCAGCCGCGGUAAUACGAAGGGUGCAAGCGUUACUCGGAAUUACUGGGCGUAAAGCGUGCGUAGGUGGUGGUUUAAGUCCGUUGUGAAAGCCCUGGGCUCAACCUGGGAAUUGCAGUGGAUACUGGGUCACUAGAGUGUGGUAGAGGAUAGUGGAAUUUCCGGUGUAGCAGUGAAAUGCGUAGAUAUCGUGAGGAAGACCAGUGGCGAAGGCGAUUCUCUGGGCGGUUCCUGACACUGAGGCACGAAGGCCAGGGGAGCAAACGGGAUUAGAUACCCCCGUAGUCCCUGUCUCUUAUAC
rnacentral:rRNA from 1 species